rnacentral:rRNA from 1 species
AGAGUUUGAUCCUGGCUCAGGAUGAACGCUGGCGGCGUGCCUAAUACAUGCAAGUCGAACGGAGAUUGUAGCAAUACGAUCUUAGUGGCGAACGGGUGAGUAACGCGUUGGUGACCUGCCCCGAAGUGUGGGAUAACAGUCCGAAAGGAUUGCUAAUACCGCAUGUGAUCCGAGGGAUUAGAUGCCCUCUGAUUAGAGGAGAAAUUCGCUUCGGGAGGGGCCUGCGUCCCAUCAGCUAGUUGGUAAGGUAGCGGCUUACCAAGGCGAAGACGGGUAGGGGACCUGAGAGGGUGGCCCCCCACAAUGGAACUGAAACACGGUCCAUACACCUACGGGUGGCAGCAGUAGGGAAUAUUGCAAAUGGGCGAAAGCCUGAUGUAGCAACGCCGCGUGUGCGAUGAAGGUCUUCGGAUUGUAAAGCACUUUUUGGAGGGAUGAGGAAGGACAGUACCUCCAGAAUAAGCCUCGGCUAACUACGUGCCAGCAGCCGCGGUAACACGUAGGAGGCAAGCGUUAUUCGGAUUUACUGGGCGUAAAGCGCGUGCAGGCGGUUUGGAAAGUUGGAUGUGAAAGCUCCUGGCUCAACUGGGAGAGGUCGUUCAAAACUUCCAGACUUGAGAGUGGUAGAGGGAGGUGGAAUUCCGGGUGUAGUGGUGAAAUGCGUAGAUAUCCGGAGGAACACCAGUGGCGAAAGCGGCCUCCUGGACCACUUCUGACGCUCAGACGCGAAAGCUAGGGUAGCAAACGGGAUUAGAGACCCCGGUAGUCCUAGCUGUAAACGAUGUGAACUUGGCGUCGGUGGGUUCAAAUCCAUCGGUGCCGAAGCUAACGCGAUAAGUUCACCGCCUGGGGACUACGGCCGCAAGGUUAAAACUCAAAGGAAUUGACGG